CCUACGGGAGGCAGCAGUGGGGGAUAUUGCACAAUGGGGGGAACCCUGAUGCAGCGACGCCGCGUGGGUGAAGGAGCGUUUCGGUGCGUAAAGCCCUAUCGGCCGGGAAGAAAAUGACGGUACCUGACUAAGAAGCCCCGGCUAACUACGUGCCAGCAGCCGCGGUAAUACGUAGGGGGCAAGCGUUAUCCGGAUUUACUGGGUGUAAAGGGAGCGUAGACGGCAGCGCAAGUCUGGAGUGAAAUCCCAUGGCUUAACCAUGGAACUGCUGUGGAAACUGUGCAGCUAGAGUGCAGGAGAGGUAAGCGGAAUGCCUAGUGUAGCGGUGAAAUGCGUAGAGAUUAGGAGGAACACCAGGGGCGAAGGCGGCUUACUGGACUGUAACUGACGUUGAGGCUCGAAAGCGUGGGGAGCAAACAGGAUUAGAUACCCGGGUAGUC
rnacentral:rRNA from 1 species